AUGGAGGUGCCAGCAGUUGUGCUGGGACUGGAUUUGGAUCAAGGUCCAAAGGUUUUGGUUAAAGGAGUGGGCAAAACUAUAUAUCUGCCCUGCAAGUAUGAGGGCUCUUCAGACUAUAUCCACUGGUACCAAGUUAAAGACAAAGAAGCCCCAACGAGGCUACUCUACAUCAGUAAAGGAGGUAGUGUUGCUCGUGAUACCAGCGCUGAUGCAGCUGACUUCACAGUGGACAAAACAAAGCUUUAUGAUCUAAAACUGAGUAAUUCUCAGCCGAAACAUUCUGCCAUUUAUUUCUGCGCCUACUGGGGCUCUGGCAACCACAGUGAGAAGAUUAACUCACAUCCUGUACAUAAACUAUACUGGUAA